GACGAACGCUGGCGGCGUGCUUAACACAUGCAAGUCGAACGAAGUGGCGAACGGGUGAGUAACGCGUAAUCAACCUGCCCUUCAGAGGGGAACAACAGUUGGAAACGACUGCUAAUACCGCAUACUGAAGGAGGGGAUUGCGUCUGAUUUGCUAGUUGGAUGGGUAACGGCCCACCAAGGAGAUGAUCAGUAGCCGUGCUGAGAGGAUGAUCGGCCACAUUGGGACGGAGACACGGCCCAGACUUCUACGGGUGGCAGCAGUGGGGAAUCUUGCGCAAUGGAAGAAAGUCUUACGGGGCAACGCCGCGUGAGUGAUGACGGCCUUCGUGUUGUAAAGCUCUGUUAAUCGGGACGCGGUACCGGAAUAGAAAGCCACUGCUAACUACGUGCCAGCAGCCGCGGUAAUUC
rnacentral:rRNA from 1 species